CCUACGGGGGGCAGCAGUGGGGGAUAUUGCACAAUGGGGGGAACCCUGAUGCAGCGACGCCGCGUGGGUGAAGGAGUGCUUCGGCAUGUAAAGCCCUAUCGGCAGGGAAGAAGCAAGACGUUACCUGACUAAGAAGCCCCGGCUAACUACGUGCCAGCAGCCGCGGUAAUACGUAGGGGGCGAGCGUUAUCCGGAUUCAUUGGGUGUAAAGGGAGCGUAGACGGCCAAGCAAGCCAGGGGUGAAUGCCCGGGGCCCAACCCCGGGACUGCCCUUGAAACUGUAUGGCUAGAGUGCGGGAGGGGCAGGCGGAAUUCCUGGUGUAGCGGUGAAAUGCGUAGAUAUCAGGAGGAACACCAGCGGCGAAGGCGGCCUGCUGGACCGCGACUGACGUUGAGGCUCGAAAGCGUGGGGAGCGAACAGGAUUAGAUACCCUAGUAGUC
rnacentral:rRNA from 1 species